AUGGAUUUGGCGUCGGUCAACGAGGAGCUCGCCGAGAUCGACGGGCAGAUCGCCGACAUCUUCCGCGCAUUGCAAAAUGGGUUCCAGAAGCUCGACAAGAUCAAGGAUGCCAACCGCCGGAGCAGGCAGCUCGAAGAGCUCACUGACAAGAUGCGAGAUUGCAAAAGGCUUAUCAAAGACUUCGAACGAGUUGUCAAAGAUGAGGCAGGCAGUGUUGAUCCCAACACUGCUAAAUUUCUGAACGAGAGAAAGCAGUCGCUGAUCAAGGAAUUGAACUCUUAUGUUGCUCUGAAGAAACAACAUGCAAGUGAAAAUAAGCGAGUUGAUCUUUUUGAUGCCCCAAGUGGUGAAGAUGCCUUUGGUGAAGAAAAUGUCCUGUUAGCAUCAAAUAUGUCAAACCAGCAGCUAAUGCAGCAUGGAGACAAUCUAAUGGAUGAGACUGAUCAAGCUCUCGCACGAUCUAAACAGACUGUCCAAGAGACGAUCAAUGUGGGUACAGAAACUGCAGCUGCUCUCAAAGCACAGACAGAGCAAAUGAGCAGGGUUGUUAAUGAGCUGGAUUCCAUUCAUUUCUCCAUGAAAAAGGCAUCAAAAUUGGUGAAAGAAAUUGGUAGGCAGGUUGCAACUGACCGCUGCAUCAUGGGAUUGCUUUUUCUCAUUGUCGCUGGAGUCAUAGCUGUAAUAAUUGUUAAGAUUGUGAACCCACACAACAAGGACAUUCCUGACCUCCCCGGGCUCGCUCCACCGGUCGGCAGAAGGCUGUUGUCCAUUGCAGAGGGCAAGUGA
rnacentral:rRNA from 1 species